rnacentral:lncRNA from 1 species
AUGUUGGCUUCGGCUUCUGUGCGCCUCGGAUAUUUCCGACGUUUUGUUACACAAGAUGCCGUGAGAACAAGGGGGCUAAAGGUGGAAGAUGCCGUUGGGGACAAGGAACUAACGUUACGUGCUUAUGCGACUACUGCAACGAUCAACCCUAAUCACAACGUCUAAGCAUCGUUAAUACACUAUGGCUUGCAAACGCAAAUGCUAUGUUUGGAUCGUUUGGUUUGUAGUAAAAUCUAAUAAUGAAUGUGAAUGGUCCCAAAAUAAAUAUAUGAUGAUGUAAUGUGAAAGAAAGAAUAAUGUAAAAGUACGACUUUCUAUGUGUAAUAAAAUAAGUUCGGUAAUACUUUGACUCCUUUGGUAAUACCUUGGCAUCCACAUGUUCAUAUCUACGUUUACUACGCUCUCCGAAAUGAUUUUAACCCCAUUUUAAAUUGUGUUCUAGCCAAACUCUUUUGAAUUACAUUUACUGAACCAAGCGGCGACGUCAAAGUAAUCUGACAUUUGGGCAAUCAGUGUUCUAACAAUAUCUUGGUUAAGCUAACCUAAAAACAUGAUUUUUAAUUGUUGUAUUAUAUUCCCCCUUUAUUCAAAUAUAAAAUAAUAUGCAUGUACAUAUAUUACAUUUUUAAAAUGUGUGUAUUAAGUCAAAAACACCAUUAAAAAAAAAAGACUAAGGAACGCCGUCCAACUGUUUUGUAGCCAAUCUAGCGGUCAAAGAUAAUUUCUUUGAGUGUGACAUACGGAUAAGAAAUAGGCCAGCUUACGAUUAAAAAUGAAUUACAUAAGUUAAGACUGUGGCAUGGUUGACAAAGACAUGGUGGUUUUGUAUUUGACAACAUAAGAUUAUAAUCUAGUUUUUGUUAUAGUCUAUUUUCACACUUAUCUAUGUCUAAAUUAUAUGUAAAAAGUAAGGAGAAAGUUAUUAAAAUGGUAGUAUAUUUUUAUUUAUUACAAAUAAAGAUGUAUGAAUCCAAAUAUAUCAAAAAACAGCCUUAGGAAUUGCAAUGAGUGUGUAUAUAGGCCCGGCUCUGAAAGGAAGCCGUAGAAGUAUGGGCUUCCAGCCCUAAAAAUAUAUAUACGAUUUUCGGUUAUUUUCAUUAUAGUCUAGUAGCAUUAUCAGGGAAGUAUGAACCCAUGCACCUAGAGUUCGAACCAUGAGUAUGUCAUUAGCAGUCUUUUAAAAAAAUAUAGCUUAUAAUCCUUAUAUAGCCUGGACCGUUACUAUGUGUACAAUGUGGUGGAUAGCAUUCAUACCUUGCAAGCGUCGGUCCAAGUUGGUGGACAGGGCUCUGGAGCACACAAAUGAUGAUCCUAAUAAGUAUAUGCAAGUAUGGAACUCAGAAUUAUUAAUACAGAGCAGAGCCGGCCUUGGC